rnacentral:rRNA from 1 species
UACGUAGGGGGCUAGCGUUGUCCGGAAUCAUUGGGCGUAAAGCGCGUGUAGGCGGUCCGGUAAGUCCGCUGUGAAAGUCGGGGGCUCAACCCUCGAAUGCCGGUGGAUACUGCAGGGCUAGAGUCCGGAAGAGGCGAGUGGAAUUCCUGGUGUAGCGGUGAAAUGCGCAGAUAUCAGGAGGAACACCAAUGGCGAAGGCAGCUCGCUGGGACGGUACUGACGCUGAGGCGCGAAAGCGUGGGGAGCAAACAGG